rnacentral:ncRNA from 1 species
AUAAAAGCUGUGAAGAGAAGAGUAAUUUUAUCGAUAGUUUUCAGAGAGUCUGCGUUGGUGUAAGCAGAUAACUUCUUUAAAAUGAAGCAAGUCUUGGAGCUACAUAUUGGAUUGCUUUGCUUUUUAAGUAUGAUACUAUGUCGUUUGUCUGCGUUAUUAGACUUUUUAGAGUAUUUAAUGUACUUACUGAGGCUUUUAUGGUGACGUAAAAGUGAAUUAGGGUGGUACCGCGAUUUUAAUCGCCCCUUGG